UACACUCCUGCGGGAGGCAGCAGUGGGGAAUAUUGCACAAUGGGCGCAAGCCUGAUGCAGCCAUGCCGCGUGUAUGAAGAAGGCCUUCGGGUUGUAAAGUACUUUCAGCGGGGAGGAAGGCGAUAAGGUUAAUAACCUUGUCGAUUGACGUUACCCGCAGAAGAAGCACCGGCUAACUCCGUGCCAGCAGCCGCGGUAAUACGGAGGGUGCAAGCGUUAAUCGGAAUUACUGGGCGUAAAGCGCACGCAGGCGGUCUGUCAAGUCGGAUGUGAAAUCCCCGGGCUCAACCUGGGAACUGCAUUCGAAACUGGCAGGCUAGAGUCUUGUAGAGGGGGGUAGAAUUCCAGGUGUAGCGGUGAAAUGCGUAGAGAUCUGGAGGAAUACCGGUGGCGAAGGCGGCCCCCUGGACAAAGACUGACGCUCAGGUGCGAAAGCGUGGGGAGCAAACAGGAUUAGAUACCCCUGUAGUCCCAUG
rnacentral:rRNA from 1 species